rnacentral:rRNA from 1 species
AUUGAACGCUGGCGGCAUGCUUUACACAUGCAAGUCGAACGGCAGCGCGGGGGCAACCCUGGCGGCGAGUGGCGAACGGGUGAGUAAUGCAUCGGAACGUAUCCUGUAAUGGGGGAUAACGUAGCGAAAGUUACGCUAAUACCGCAUACGCUCGAGAGAGGAAAGUGGGGAUCGCAAAGACCUCACGUUAUAGGAGCGUCCGAUGUCCGAUUAGCUAGUUGGUGGGGUAAAGGCCUACCAAGGCGACGAUCGGUAGCUGGUCUGAGAGGAUGAUCAGCCACACUGGGACUGAGACACGGCCCAGACUCCUACGGGAGACAGCAGUGGGGAAUUUUGGACAAUGGGCGAAAGACCUGAUCCAGCCAUGCCGCGUGCGGGAAGAAGGCCU